AAGUCGUAACAAGGUAACCGUAGGUGAACCUGCGGUUGGAUCAUUAAUUAUAUCCGGUGGGGGUGAGUAGCACAGCUUGCUGUUGCAUGUCCCCCUAUACCAAACAUUAUGUGAACCGAUCCGUCUCUGGCGAGGGGGUAGUAAUUAAAACCUACUACUUGUCAGUAAAUGCCGUGUGCUUUUGCCGUGGACACCUCGUCAACAGGUCUUACACCUUUGCUUUAUUUUGAUUGUCUGACAUAACAUGUAUAAAUAUACAAAACAACUUUUGGCAACGGAUCUCUUGGCUCUC
rnacentral:misc_RNA from 1 species